rnacentral:rRNA from 1 species
GCCUACGGCCAUACCACCCUGAAAGCGCCCGAUCUCGUCUGAUCUCGGAAGCUAAGCAGGGACGGGCCUGCUUAGUACCUGGAUGGGAGACCGCCUGGGAAUACCAGGUGUUAUAGGCU